UACGUAGGGGGCAAGCGUUGUCCGGAUUUAUUGGGCGUAAAGAGCGUGUAGGCGGCUUUAAAGGUCAGCUGUGAAAACUCGAGGCUCAACCUCGAGACGUCGGUUGAAACCAUCUGGCUAGAGUCCGGAAGAGGAGUGUGGAAUUCCCGGUGUAGCGGUGAAAUGCGCAGAUAUCGGGAAGAACACCAGUGGCGAAGGCGGCACUCUGGGACGGUACUGACGCUGAGACGCGAAAGCGUGGGGAGCGAACAGG
rnacentral:rRNA from 1 species